rnacentral:SRP_RNA from 1 species
GUUGGGCAUGGUGGUGCAAGCCUGUAAUCCCAGCUACUGGGAGGCUGAGGCAGGAGAAUCACUUGAACCCAGGAGGCGGAGGUUGCAGUGAGCCAAGAUCGUGCCACUGCAUCCCAGCCUGGGUGACAGAGUGAGACUUGGUCUCAA